rnacentral:rRNA from 1 species
AGUCUGACCUGCCCUAUGAUAGUUAUAUUAAAUGGCCGCGAUAAUUUGAUCGUGCAAAGGUAGCAUAAUAAUUAGUUUCUUAAUUAGAAACUGGUAUGAAAGGUCGAACGAAAAAAAAACUGUCUCAAUUUAAAUUUAAUUAGAAUUUUAUAUUUAAGUUAAAAAGCUUAAAUAAUUUUAAAAGACGAGAAGACCCUAUAGAGUUUUAUAUUAAUUUAUUUAUUUUUUAGUUUUAGUAUUUUAUUUUAAAAUUUAUAUAUUUAAAUAUUUGGUUGGGGUGAUUGAAAAAUUUAAUGAACUUUUUUUUUUUUUUUUCUUUGAUAUAUGAAUAAUUGACCCAUAUUUAAGGAUUAAAAAAUAAAAUUACCUUAGGGAUAACAGCGAAUUUUUUUUUGAAAGUUUUUAUCAAAAAAAAAGUUUGCGACCUC